CCAAUAGCGUAUAUUAAAGUUGUUGCAGUUAAAAAGCUCGUAGUUGAACUUCGGGAUUAGUAAGUUGGUCGUGCCUCUGGUAUGUACUGGCUUUACUGGUUCCUCCUUCUUGAAGAACUGUAAUGUCAUUAAUUUGGUGUUGCAGGGAAACAGGACUGUUACUUUGAAAAAAUUAGAGUGUUUAAAGCAGGCUAACGUCUGAAUACAUUAGCAUGGAAUAAUGAAAUAGGACGUUUGAUCCUAUUUUGUUGGUUUCUAGGAUUGACGUAAUGAUUAAUAGGGAUAGUUGGGGGCAUUAGUAUUCAAUUGUCAGAGGUGAAAUUCUUGGAUUUAUUGAAGACUAACUACUGCGAAAGCAUUUGCCAAGGAUGUUUUCAUUAAUCAAGAACGAAAGUUAGGGGAUCGAAGACGAUCAGAUACCGUCGUAGUCUUAACCAUAAACUAUGCCGACUAGGGAUCGGAUGAUGUUAAUUUUUUAAUGACUCAUUCGGCGCCUUACG
rnacentral:rRNA from 1 species